rnacentral:rRNA from 1 species
UCCUACGGGGGGCAGCAGUGGGGGAUAUUGCACAAUGGGGGAAACCCUGAUGCAGCGACGCCGCGUGAGUGAAGAAGUAUUUCGGUAUGUAAAGCUCUAUCGGCAGGGAAGAAAAAAAUGACAGUACCUGACUAAGAAGCCCCGGCUAACUACGUGCCAGCAGCCGCGGUAAUACGUAGGGGGCAAGCGUUAUCCGGAUUUACUGGGUGUAAAGGGUGCGAAGGUGGCAGGGCAAGUCAGAUGUGAAAGCCCGGGGCCCAACCCCGGGACUGCAUUUGAAACCGUCCGGC